UACGUAGGGUGCAAGCGUUAAUCGGAAUUACUGGGCGUAAAGGGUGCGUAGGCGGCUUUGCAAGUUGGGUGUGAAAGCCCUCGGCUCAACCGAGGAAUUGCGCUCAAUACUGCCGAGCUCGAGAGAGACAGAGGUAAGCGGAACUAAUGGUGGAGCGGUGAAAUGCGUUGAUAUCAUUAGGAACACCGGUGGCGAAGGCGGCUUACUGGGUCUUUUCUGACGCUGAGGCACGAAAGCCAGGGGAGCGAACGGG
rnacentral:rRNA from 1 species